UACGUAGGUGGCAAGCGUUGUCCGGAAUUAUUGGGCGUAAAGAGCUCGUAGGCGGUUCAGUAAGUCGGGUGUGAAAACUUUGGGCUUAACCCAAAGCGUGCAUCCGAUACUGCUGUGACUUGAGUUCGGUAAGGGAGUGGGGAAUUCCUAGUGUAGCGGUGAAAUGCGCAGAUAUUAGGAGGAACACCGGUGGCGAAGGCGCCACUCUGGGCCGAAACUGACGCUGAGGAGCGAAAAGCAUGGGUAGCAAACAGGG
rnacentral:rRNA from 1 species